AUUGAACGCUGGCGGCAGGCUUAACACAUGCAAGUCGAGCGGGGGAAGGUAGCUUGCUACCGGACCUAGCGGCGGACGGGUGAGUAAUGCUUAGGAAUCUGCCUAUUAGUGGGGGACAACAUCUCGAAAGGGAUGCUAAUACCGCAUACGUGCUACGGGAGAGAGCAGGGGAUCUUCGGACCUUGCGCUAAUAGAUGAGCCUAAGUCGGAUUAGCUAGUUGGUGGGGUAAAGGCCUACCAAGGCGACGAUCUGUAGCGGGUCUGAGAGGAUGAUCCGCCACACUGGGACUGAGACACGGCCCAGACUCCUACGGGAGGCAGCAGUGGGGAAUAUUGGACAAUGGGGGGAACCCUGAUCCAGCCAUGCCGCGUGUGUGAAGAAGGCCUUAUGGUUGUAAAGCACUUUAAGCGAGGAGGAGGCUACUCUAGUUAAUACCUAGGGAUAGUGGACGUUACUCGCAGAAUAAGCACCGGCUAACUCUGUGCCAGCCGCCGCAGUAA
rnacentral:rRNA from 1 species